rnacentral:rRNA from 1 species
CCUACGGGAGGCAGCAGUGAGGAAUAGUGGUCAAUGGCCGGGAGGCUGAACCAGCCAAGUCGCGUGAGGGAAGACGGCCCUACGGGUUGUAAACCUCGUUUGUCAGGGAGCAAGGUGCAGGUCGGGACCUGCUGUGAGAGGACCUGAAGAAAAAGCAUAGGCUAACUCCGUGCCAGCAGCCUCGGUAAGACGGAGGAGGCGAGCGUUAUCCGGAUUUGUUGGGUUUAAAGGGUGCGCAGGCGGAGGCACAAGUCAGCGGUAAAAUCGCGGGGCUCAACCCCGCUCCGCCGUUGAAACUGUGUCCCUUGCUUGCGCGCCGGCUAGGCGUCAUGCUUGGUGUAGCGG